UACGAGGGGUGCAAGCGUUAUUCGGCAUUAUUGGGCGUAAAGGGUGUGUAGACGGCUUUUUAAGUCAACUGUUAAAUUCUCCGGCCUAACCGGAGGUCUGCAGUAGAUACUGAUGAGCUAGAGGGUGGAAGAGAGAAGUGGAAUUCUCGGAGUAGCGGUAAAAUGCGUAGAUCUCGAGAGGAACACCGAUGGCGAAGGCAGCUUCUUGGUCCAUUUCUGACGUUGAAACACGAAAGCGUGGGGAGCAAACAGG
rnacentral:rRNA from 1 species